rfam:Mycoplasma sp. CAG:472 genomic scaffold, scf133
AUCUUUAGACAAACGCUGUAAGACUUUUAGUUUUAUUGAGGAAAGUCCAUGCUCACUUAUCCUGUGAUGGAUAAUAUGUUCGUGCUUAAGGAAUAAAUAACUUAAGGUAGCAUAUGCUAACGGCUCCGAAAAUUUCUGAAAAUGAAAUGAUUAGGUAUAAAAGUGCCAAAGAGACGAGUCUUUUAGAAAUAAAAGAAGUGGAACGUGGUAAACCCCGCGAGUGAGAAACCCAAAUUUUGGUAGGGGAGCUGGUCAAGGGAAAACGAACCUAAGACUAGAUGUACUUUGUACAUAGAUAAAUGUUUGUCACCAGUAAUGGUACAGAACAUGGCUUAUUAAG